UACGAGAGGCCCAAACGUUAUUCGGAUUUACUGGGCUUAAAGAGUUCGUAGGCGGCGCAGAAAGUAGGGUGUGAAAGCCCUCGGCCUAACCGAGGAAUUGCGCUCUAAACUACUGUGCUUGAGGAAUCUAGAGGUGAGCGGAACUGAUGGUGGAGCGGUGAAAUGCGUUGAUAUCAUCAGGAACACCGGAGGCGACGGCGGCUCACUGGGGAUUUUCUGACGCUGAGGAACGAAAGCCAGGGGAGCAAACGGG
rnacentral:rRNA from 1 species